AGUGAACGCUGGCGGUAGGCCUAACACAUGCAAGUCGAACGGCAGCACAGUAAGAGCUUGCUCUUACGGGUGGCGAGUGGCGGACGGGUGAGGAAUACAUCGGAAUCUACUUUUUCGUGGGGGAUAACGUAGGGAAACUUACGCUAAUACCGCAUACGACCUACGGGUGAAAGCGGGGGAUCUUCGGACCUUGCGCGAUUGAAUGAGCCGAUGUCGGAUUAGUUAGUUGGCGGGGUAAAGGCCCACCAAGGCGACGAUCCGUAGCUGGUGUGAGAGGAUGAUCAGCCACACUGGAACUGAGACACGGUCCAGACUCCUACGGGAGGCAGCAGUGGGGAAUAUUGGACAAUGGGCGCAAGCCUGAUCCAGCCAUACCGCGUGGGUGAAGAAGGCCUUCGGGUUGUAAAGCCCUUUUGUUGGGAAAGAAAAGCAGCAGGUUAAUACCCCGCUGUUCUGACGGUACCCAAAGAAUAAGCACCGGCUAACUUCGUG
rnacentral:rRNA from 1 species